rnacentral:lncRNA from 1 species
UCAUCCGACACUUGAAGAUUAAUUAUCUGGAUUUAAAAUGUGACUCUUUAAGUAAGUUAUCCUCUUGUUUUAUCGUAUAAUGUAUUGGGCUAUUUCAAAAUAAUUUUAGCACUUUUUGUGCUGACAUGAAUUGUCAUUGAUAUGGUUAUAUUUAUAAAUUUACUGUUUACAAAUUUUUGAAUUUUAUAAAUACUUAGGUUUUUCUACCUCAGGCAUAGAUUACCUUAGCUGUAUUUGGCAAAACUUUUAGGAAUUUUGGUCCUCAAUGCUCUUCAACUUCGUACUUUAUUUGGCCUUUUUAACUUUUUUGGAUUCGAGCGUCACUGAUGAGUCUUUUGUAGACGAAACGCGCGUCUGACAUAUAUAAUGAAUUUAGUCCUGGAAUCUAUGAUGAGUUUAUUUAAACUACCUGUUAUAAAAUAAAGAUUGUUUUAUCUUAUACAUUAUCGUCCUUCGCUACGCCUAUACCACCCUGCUCUGUCGCUCCGUAAGUCUCGUAUCAAGGCUUCAAAACGAGACCAAGCAUUAUCAGCGACGUCACAAUGUGAGAGGAGAAGUUAUCAGCG